UGUGCACCGGUGGGGUCCCUCAGCCUGGCCUGCACCCUCUCUCAAUCCAGGACCCCUCGGGGGAUGUCAGAGAGCUGGUGUCAGCCUGCAGGCCAGGCUGAGGGACCCCACUGUUGCACA
rnacentral:pre_miRNA from 1 species